AGGGUGCAAGCGUUACUCGGAAUUACUGGGCGUAAAGCGUGCGUAGGUGGUGAGUUAAGUCUGUCGUGAAAGCCCCGGGCUCAACCUGGGAAUGGCGAUGGAUACUGGCUCGCUAGAGUGCGGUAGAGGAGAGUGGAAUUCCCGGUGUAGCAGUGAAAUGCGUAGAGAUCGGGAGGAACAUCAGUUGCGAAGGCGGCUCUCUGGACCAGCACUGACACUGAGGCACGAAAGCGUGGGGAGCAAACAGG
rnacentral:rRNA from 1 species